rnacentral:tRNA from 10 species
GCGAUAGUGGCUCAGCUGGUAGAGUACGACCUUGCCAAGGUCGGGGUCGCGGGUUCGAACCCCGUCUAUCGCU